GAGCUUCAACAAGUGCAUAUUUGAUUUCGGAUGCUAUGGAAUCAGACUAACAAACCAAAGACUUACUAGAUGAUUUAUAAAGCUUGAAAUAUUAGACCAAGCUUAAUGUGUCAACUUCGUACAAAAAAAAAAUUGCAGGAAUUUAAUAAUGACCUGCACAGUGGAUUGAAAGUGAAAAUGUUUAUAAUCUUUGUAUAUUCCAGGAAAGUGGUUUCUAAGUGAUGAGUCUGAAUGGCGUUGAUUUCUCAUAGUCCGAGGUAGAGGGAAAACUAUGGCCAUUACUACUUACGCUGUUUUCAAAAGAUGAACAUAAAAAACAGUUGAAUUUAAGUUUUUAGAGUAAUAAUAGUAAGAACUUUGGAGAUCAAUUUAAAUUACUAUACUUAUACCUGAAAGUAUUCGGGCGAAUUUCUUCAUGUUUACUCAUGAAACGUCUUAUGAAUCGAAAAAGCAGAAUCUCAUGCAACUGAUAUUAUAGUAGCGCAUUCUGCAAAGAAUACAUCAGAGACCAUUUAAUUGAACAAGGCUUAAUACAACUCCUCAUAGCAGUGAAUACCAUUUGGGCUUCAGCCGCAAAUUCUAAGUAUGGGAGAUGUCUGGAUUGGCGGAAAAAAUGGUACUGAAGUGAUAUCGGUAUUCAUAGCUCAGACAACUUACGACCCUUAGAUGCCUUUUUCUUGGAUAAAAGUGUGCCGUCACCAUCAGUAAUACGGCUUUCUGGGUUCCAUAUACAACCAAGACUUAACAAUUUCCUUAAGAUAAUUUGAAGUAUCAAAUUCUCAUGAUGUCUACAUGUGUUAACCCGAGUAAUGACGUCACAAGAUACUAUUUGGAGCCUUCAACCUUGCAAUUCGGAGCCUUUCCAAUGAAGCUAUGGAGAUCCAAUUUAUGCAGUUUGUAAAAUUCAUUUUGGUUUCGCCUAAAUUUAUAUUAAUGCCAAAUAAUAAUGAAUAUAUAAAUAGUCUGCACAGUGGAAAUGGGAUUAUGAAUGUAGUUAACAUUACUUGAGGAUAUCAAUACAUCUUUGAAAUGUUUCUAUUCUAAGAGCAAGAUACUGAAUAUUUAAUUCUUUUCAAACUUUGCGAAGCUUAAAGAGUGCAAAAUAUCAGAUUCAAUUUGACAAUUCAAUCAAUAUUUAAUCUUAAAAU